rnacentral:lncRNA from 1 species
CGCUAGCCCUCUGUAAUCCCGUACCUGUAAUCCCGGCUGCGUCCCUGGAGGAGCGGCGGGCAGAAGCUUGGGGGAGGAGGCUGAGGUGGGGAGCAGAGGGCGCCCUCAGGGUGCCCAGGCUUGGCUGCAGCGGUGAGCGGUGAGCGGUGAGCGGCGCAGCUGCUCUGUCAGGUGCCAGAGAGGCAGGUGCAGGAGCCGAACCUGCCCCGCAGCGCGUCAAGGGUCUCACUAUGUAGCCCAAGCUGACCUCGAACUCGUGGCGAUCCUCCUGCCUCAGCCUCCCGAGUACUGGGGCUACGGCCAUGCACCACCGCAUCCCGCUCCUCCCUCCAUUUUAAAUUCUAACCGGCCCCCUUUCAAACUCAUCCCACCAUCCACAACCCCUGCUUCCUAUGGCCUGGGUCCCUACUCCCCUCUACUCCGAAUAGCUCCCUGACCCCCAAUAACCUGGGCAAAGGAAAGGAGACUCCCAGAACUGCUUCAGAAAGUGGCAAGGGAGGGGCAGGUUUUGAGGGGGACUCAUAGCAAUGCCUUUUAC